rnacentral:rRNA from 1 species
AUGGGGAAGGCCUACCACAAGAAGCUGGGCGUGAACAAGGCGGCCACCGCCGGCGGGAAGGGCCAGGCCACACGUGGCGGGAGCGGUAAGCGCUCGGGAGGAGGCAUAGCCGGAGUUGGCGUGGGCGGUGCCGGCCCGACAGAAGGCGCGAAGCGAGCAGGUGGUGCUGGCGGUGGGGGUUGGGGAGGCGCGUCGGCAUUCUUUUCCACCGGCCAUAGCACCUUCCAGACGGCAGUGGCUGCCACCAAUGAGUACUACGACCAGGAGGAGAACGACUGUUCGUCCGAGGAAGACUGCCCAACAUUCACUCCCGCCAGCCAUAGCACAUUCCAGACGGCUGUUCAUUCCACGAAUGAGUACUAUGAUGAUGAGGAGAACGACUGUUCGUCCCCAUUCGCUCCAGCAGACCAUAGCACCUUUGAAACGGCCGUGGAGACCAUGAAUGAGCACUACGAUGACGAGGAGAACGAGGAAGAGGGCGUGCAGGAUGCUGAGCUUGUGUCUGAUGCAAACGGCGAUCGAGGGUGA